rnacentral:rRNA from 1 species
AGUGAACGCUGGCGGUAGGCCUAACACAUGCAAGUCGAACGGCAGCACAGUAAGAGCUUGCUCUUACGGGUGGCGAGUGGCGGACGGGUGAGGAAUACAUCGGAAUCUACUUUUUCGUGGGGGAUAACGUAGGGAAACUUACGCUAAUACCGCAUACGACCUACGGGUGAAAGCAGGGGAUCUUCGGACCUUGCGCGAUUGAAUGAGCCGAUGUCGGAUUAGCUAGUUGGCGGGGUAAAGGCCCACCAAGGCGACGAUCCGUAGCUGGUCUGAGAGGAUGAUCAGCCACACUGGAACUGAGACACGGUCCAGACUCCUACGGGAGGCAGCAGUGGGGAAUAUUGGACAAUGGGCGCAAGCCUGAUCCAGCUAUACCGCGUGGGUGAAGAAGGCCUUCGGGUUGUAAAGCCCUUUUGUUGGGAAAGAAAAGCAGCAGGUUAAUACCCCGCUGUUCUGACGGUACCCAAAGAAUAAGCAACGGCUAACUUCGUG